UGAAUUUAAAAGAAGUGAUACGGAAUUUUAUUCUGCACUAUAUAGGUCCGCGGGUCUAUAAUGUCGGUUAUUAUUCCAAAACUAAUUAUAUAUGCAUCUCUUUGAUCUUUGCGCGAAUUGAAAAGUAGGCGAUGGCAAUACACCCGAGGCCCCUCAGGGGCCUCUGAUGUAAAAANAAAUUGAUUCUUAUAUAUGAAACAUGCAUUUAAUCUAUCCAAUGCAUUAAAUAAGUUUAUUUUGUUAUAGGGUGAAUGAAAGAUUUGACUACAACUGGACUAGCCUUCAAGUUGGAUUUGCGCAAAACCUUUCAUCCACUUACUUUUCUAUUAUUUUUUUGUUUUUUGUUUUUUUUUUAAAUAUGUUCAAAUAGAACGCAAACUUGUAAUCUUCUCAACAAUCAUAACCAGGCUGCAGAAUACACAUUAAAACAAAAUAUUUAACUUCUUGUAAUUUUAUUUGAUUAUUUUACAUUCACACAGUUGAGUAAACGACGGUGGCCAUAUGAUCAGCUGGAUUUACUGAUCCUCCCGGAAAAAAAAUAAUCUAUCCUCAGGUUUUUGGAGGGUUUCGUGUUGUUCAGUCGAUUUAAUGACUGUUAUUCAGACUGUAUUGUUGUCGCCAAUUAAGGUUUCUCUUCGACUUAUUAGUUGUAAAUGUUCGUUUAGGACUUUUGGUCUCUUUUUUGCGCAUGAUAAAAUUGAUAAUGGAAAUGGGGAAUAUAUUAAAGAGGCAACAAACCCGACCAAAGACCAGAAAACAGUCGAAGGCCACAACUGGGUCUUCAAAGCAGCGAGGAAAUCCCGCAUCCGGAGGUGCGUCCUCAGCUGUCCCCUAAAUAAUUUUUUUUUUAAAUACAGUGAAAAUGGACGUCACACUAAACUUCGAAACAUAUGAAUAAACUAAAAUAAAAAAAAUAAAACAUACAAGACUAAGAAAGUCUAGAGGUUCCAGAUAUGGACGGACGCAAAAAUGCGGCGGGAUUAAACAUGUUUUGUUAGAUCGCAACCCUCCCCUAUACAUCUAGCCAAUGUAGAAUAAAGAAACAUACUUAUAUUCUUACUCAUAAUGAAAAAAAUAAAAUUACGCAAUAGAUUGUUGUUAUUGUAUAAAAAGGUGAUUAUCCCAGUAC
rnacentral:lncRNA from 1 species